ACGGCUGUAGUUUUCCAGCUUUUUCUUUUUCCUUCUGAGCCUUUGUAAGUUCUCCAAGCUGUGUUUUAUACAGGUGUGUUACCAACGCUUCAGUGGCAUCCCUGGCUUCUUUUUUCUUCUUCCUGUGCUGUUCCACAUGGUGUACCAGAUGGGCUUGGAAUGUUUCCCAUGGUUCCACCCUGUUCCCGUUUCUUCUCUCCUCUUGUUCUGGAAAUCUUGGAUGUACUUUAGCACUGUCGAACUCCAUCCCAGAGUUUCCAGCCUGCCCUAGCCUACCUUGCUCCCGCCUCCCAGGAAGACAUCACUGAUUGACGACCAUAUAUAAAGAGGAAGAGGAGGGAGAAUGGUGUGGGAUGUUGGAGGUGGUUAUGUGGGAUUUGUUGUUAGGAGAGUGUUUGGUUUGUGUUGUUUGCCCUUG
ensembl:lncRNA